rnacentral:rRNA from 1 species
GAUGAACGCUGGCGGCGUGCCUAAUACAUGCAAGUCGAGCGAACAGACGAGGAGCUUGCUCCUCUGACGUUAGCGGCGGACGGGUGAGUAACACGUGGAUAACCUACCUAUAAGACUGGGAUAACUUCGGGGAACCGGAGCUAAUACCGGAUAAUAUAUUGAACCGCAUGGUUCAAUAGUGAAAGACGGUUUUGCUGUCAAUUAUAGAUGGAUCCGCGGCGCAUUGUCUAGUUGGUAAGGUAACGGCUUACCAAGGCGACGAUGCGUAGCCGACCUGAGAGGGUGAUCGGCCACACUGGAACUGAGACACGGUCCAGACUCCUACGGGAGGCAGCAGUAGGGAAUCUUCCGCAAUGGGCGAAAGCCUGACGGAGCAACGCCGCGUGAGUGAUGAAGGUCUUCGGAUCGUAAAACUCUGUUAUUAGGGAAGAACAAAUGUGUAAGUAACUAUGCACGUCUUGACGGUACCUAAUCAGAAAGCCACGGCUAACUACGUG